ACCCUCCUGCUCUCUGUCUCUCUCUCUCGCUCUCUCUCUUUUCUCUCUCUUUUCGCUCUCUCUCUUUUCCCUCUCUUUCUCUCUCUCCUCUCUUCCACAUAGCAGUCGCUUCGUGGAUGCUGGACAAUAAUUGCUGGUGGAAUAAACCGCUCCACGCUGCUAACAUUCCUCCUUACAGCUGUUUUUUUUCAGAUGUCUUUGGGUUGUGUGGUAAGAGUUUUUUUUCACACCGUUAAGUCCACCAGAUACCAAAAAGUCACCAGAAAUCAAAACCUGACGAGGGAACAAUGGAAGACACGGACACUGGACUUUGUCAUCAGAACAUGUGCGAAAAUGGCCAAUACUGUAACCUGGGCAACCAAGAGAAAUGCAUUAGAUGCUUUGAAACCUCAACUGCAGAAAGUAAUGGAGGAAGACUUAGGGUUCCUGAUCAGUGCAGACCACAGAAGGUAGACAUGGACCUCCAAACUCCUCAAUCACAGAUGGCUUAUCCUGCCACCAGAUCAGCAGGGACUAAAGCCCAGAUGAAAGAUGAGUGGGAGAGGCAAACAUUGUGGCAACGGGGAGAGGCAGAGAGAUCCCCCUAUACACAGCAGACAAAUAGUUGUUGGGGGUUAAUGUCAGUAAAUGAGGAACAAUCAGUGUUAAAAGACCAGGUGAGGACCCAUGUCCCCCAAGAACAAUAUAGAAAGAAAGAAAACAGAGAAAGUGCUAUGGCUGAACAGCAACAUCCUUCUUCACCUAAUGACAUCCCCUCUCAAUUUCUGUCUCUGACAUGCAAACCCAUGCAAGACAGUCCAGAUCCUGAAAGACCAAAUGAAACAGAUGAGAUGCUGAAUGCUGACUACACCGGCAACGUCUAUUCCGAACCAGUUAGCUACUCUGUAGGCCAAGCUAUUUGUGCAGCCUGUGAAAACUCAGAAAAUGUAUAUACUGACUUGUAUGAGAUCUAUUCAUUCUCUGACCAAGUUUAUGAAAAAAUCUGUGAUGUUCCAGCUUCCCUUUUUCCGUUUUUUUCAAAUGAAAAACAGUCUCUAAAUAAGAGAAAGACCAGCAUUCAGCAUUUGCAAAGUAAAGAGAGAGAUAGGCAUCACCAUCUGAAGGAGGCUGUUGGCUCAAGAUUGCGUCACUAUACCCAGCGCUCUGAUGGUGAGUUAGACAGUCCAGAAAAGGAUGCAGAGUUUGCCCAGCCCCGAAGCACUGCUAGCUGUGACCUGGAUGAGGACAAUGAACAAACUGUAGCUGAGCUCAACCAAAGUCUAGGCCCUCAAAAUCUUGGAAGCAAAGCAAAAGCUAAAAAACGGCCCCUGAAAGAUCAUUCUGAACCUACAACUCAAAUCACUUCAAACAAAAACUGCGAAGCUGCAAGCCGGGAGGACUCAGUCACACACCAGGUUCUGAAUUGUUCUGAUGAGACUUUAUCAAUGAAGAAUAGUCAGGAGAAGGCAGAUGCUAUCUCUUUGGUUAUUAAGGACAUUAAGGAGGCUAUUGAAGAGGUGAAGACGAGAACUAUAAGAUCCCCAUAUACACCGGACGAACCAAAGGAACCAGUUUGGGUGAUGAGACAGGAUUUGAGUUCAAAUACAGAGUAUGAUUUCCAGCCAUUUCCUGGGGAUGAUGUAGAAAAGCAUGAGGAAGAACAAGCCAAGCAGAAGGAACAGACUGACCAGGCUGCUCAAAGUGAGUCCCCUGGCUCAGGCUCUUCUUCCCCUCCAGGAGCUGGGUCAUCCAGCAAGCUUCUGUCACAGGAUGAAGGCUUUCGAGGUUCUCUGUCUCAUAAAGAGGUUGAUUCUUCCAGGAAAAGGCUUACUUCCUUCCCCACAUAUGUAGAAGUGCCUGGCCCCUGUGACCCAGAGGACCUAAUUGAUGGGAUCAUCUUUGCAGCUAACUGUCUUGGAUCCACACAGAUGUUAUCAGAGAAGACACCAUCGAAGAACAUUCGCAUGAUCCAAGCACAGGAAGCAGUUAACCGCAUCAAGGCUGAACCUCAGCCCAUCACAGAGGUGGAUCUCUUUAUCUCCACUCAGAGAAUCAAGGUGCUCAAUGCCGACUCCCAGGAAACUAUGAUAGACAAUGCUUUGAGAACCAUCUCCUACAUUGCUGAUAUUGGCAACAUUGUGGUUCUGAUGGCCAGGAGAAGGUUGCCUCACUGUGACUCUCAGGAGAAUGUGGAGGUUUCAGACCCAAGUCAGGACAGUAAGCACCAGCACAAGAUGAUUUGCCAUGUGUUUGAAUCUGAAGAUGCCCAGUUGAUUGCCCAGUCCAUUGGCCAGGCUUUCAGUGUGGCAUACCAGGAAUUCCUAAGGGCAAAUGGAAUCAAUCCUGAGGACCUUAGUCAGACAGAAUACAGUGACCUGAUGAGCACUCAGGACAUGUAUAAUGAGGAUCUUGUUCACUUCUCCAGGUCUGAAAACUGCAAAGAUGUGUGUAUAGAAAAAGCUAAAGGUGAGAUUCUGGGUGUGGUCAUUGUGGAGAGUGGAUGGGGCUCCAUUCUACCUACUGUUAUCAUUGCUAAUAUGAUGCAUGCUGGACCAGCUGAGAGGUCUGGUAGAGUCAACAUAGGGGAUCAGAUCAUGUCAAUCAAUGGAACCAGUCUGGUUGGACUACCCCUGUCAACUUGCCAGAGCAUCAUAAAGAUGCAACAUGAAAAGCCAAGCUGGUAGAUCACAGGCAGAAGUAGGAUAUUCACAUAAGUUAUGUCUUUUUUUACUGUUAAUUGAUGUGUGUAUAUCUUGUAUUUAAUUUUAUUUCGAAUUAUACAGUAUGUAAUAUGCCUUUUGCUGUGUUAUGUUAUGAAGUUAAAUUGGUGUUAACAAUUCCCCAUUCUAGUAUGACCAGCAGAGUCAUACUAGAAUGGGGAAGCUGAAGCUGAAGCUGAAGCAGGACAGGCUUGUAGGAAUUACUGAACAGAGCAAUUCCUCCACCUAGAGAGGAUCAGAACAUGAGGACAUGAGUAGAUAUCCAGUCAGAGAUAGCCAGGUAGGAAAGUUGCUUUUAAGGGCCAGGUGUAUUUGGUUAACUAUAUAUCUGCAAGUCGGUUUCUUUGAUUUUAUUCAAACUAAUAAUACCUCUUUUAUGUUAAAUUUUUUGUAUUCAUUUUAGUACUGAUAAUGAGCGUACCCUGUACUGUGUCUGCUAGCAGUUUAAAUUGAUUUCAGCUACAUACUUACAAAAGAAUAUUCAGAUUUUAACAUGCAUUUUCUAAAUACUAAAUAUUUCAGUUUACUCUCAGUAAUUUCAGUGUUGUUACACUUCUGAAAUAUUUUUUGCAAUUUCCCUUAUAGGAACAGUUUCACUUAAGCAUUUAAUUUCCUGAGGUAUUGUCAAUUUAUUUUCAAUUAAAACGCUCAAAAAGAGUUUUAGGGCUUAUUUGUUUUUAAUUUACUUACACAAGUAAGUAAAUCUGAUCACUUAUUGGUAUUUUUAUAUCUUUCAGGUUUGCAUCAUAAAACUAAUUAAGUCAUUUCUGAGCCGUAGAUUGAGUAGCUCUAUGAUGUUCACCCAGGACAGAGAGGAACUAUCAUCAACUCCACUCCAUCAGCCCCCUGAGAUCUUCAUGUUGUUAAAUUACCUUUCCCUUGGAUUCAAGCACCUGGACCUUCUGACCGGUGUUUUCUUGUGACGCCUUGGAAAUACCCCUGUGAAGCCCAAGUUCCUGGCUUUCUGGAUUUCUCCCCUCUUGACACUGUGGAUUGUUAUCCACUGGUGCCCGAGUCCCUUCUUCACCUCUGCAGAUUAACCAUAAAUCGUUCCUAGAUUCUCAGCUGGCAGUCGGUUUGCUCCUCAUACCCUCUGCACCUGAACUUACCUGUCCGCCAUCCUCUACACCUACCCCCAAAGAACUCACUCCGGCAAGACCUGAUACUGGUCUUGACACACCAGUGUGUGGUCGGUCAAGACCAGUGUCUUUUGUAAUACUCUGCAUUACAAAAGACAAUGCAGAGUAUUGUCUCCCAGUCAAAGGUGUCAAGGACACCUACAAAGAGAAACCACUGUAUUACCCCCCUGGUGGAAGUUCAUCUUCGUUUCAGCCCCCUGGCGAAAGUUAAUCUUUGUUUCAAGUAAGAUCAAUCUAAUUCUUCUUGGAGUUCCACUUUUCGAUAACCUCAAACUCACCAUCUCUUUCUCACUGCUCUACAGACAACCCUGGUUGCCAUCCACAAGGACGAGAACUACGCAAUCUUAUUUUUCAUCAUUGUUAAAAUAAACUUUAUUUAUCUGAU